rnacentral:rRNA from 1 species
GCACCUGGGGUCAUGUGCCUACCCGAAGUCCAACUCCGAUUGUGGCUUUGGAUGUACCGAAGCGGGUGAAAGGCCCGUACGGGUAGGUGGUUCAUGAUCCUCAGAUGUGUGUGCUUUCGAGUCGGAUUGCUUGGGAAUGCAGUCCAAAGUGGGUGGUAAACUCCAUCCAAGGCUAAAUACUGGCACGAGUCCGAUAGUAAACAAGUACCGUGAGGGAAAGUUGAAAAGUACUCUGAAGAGAGAGUAAAUAGUACGUGAAGCCGAUUGCAGGGAAGCUGGUGGAGUCAAGCUUCAUGCUGGAAGAUUUGUCGUCGAGAGUUGUUGUGUUGUUGGCACGCGUUGGUCGAUGUGGAAAGAAUUGGGUGGCCUCGGUCGCUUCAAGUCGUUCCGGGUUGUACGAUUGGGCUGGCGCGCGUUGUCUUGCUCACGAUGAUUUAUUCUUCAUGGCAUAGAUCACGGUCGAUGGUGGCAUGCUGUGUGACUGUCUAACUGUGCUCAGGUGGGCGUAAGCUUGCCGGGUGCAGGAUGGGAGGUGUCGCUUGUGCC